rnacentral:rRNA from 1 species
CUUGAUCAAUUAUAAGAGGUCAAGCCUGCCCAGUGACAUUGUUCAACGGCCGCGGUAUCCUAACCGUGCGAAGGUAGCGUAAUCACUUGUCCUUUAAAUAAGGACUAGUAUGAACGGCUUCACGAAGGCUAUACUGUCUCCUUAAUCUAAUCAAUUAAACUAAUCUCCCCGUGAAGAAGCGGGGAUUCGUCUAUAAGACGAGAAGACCCUAUGGAGCUUUAAACAUCUAAGACACUUGAUUAUAUCUACUAAACUUCAUGUAACCUAUCAUUUUGUCUUAAGUUUUAGGUUGGGGUGACCACGGAGAAAAAUUAAACCUCCACGUAGAAAGAAAAUUUUUUCUAAGCAAAAAGCCACAUCUUAACGCAUCAAUAUAUUGACUUAAAUUGACCCAAUUUCUUGCUCAACGAAC